UUGGGAAUGGAUUGGUUCUACUAAUGUUAUGCCUCUCUUGAUUGCCGGACCAGAAGGGUCAGCUUCCAAUUCUCGAGUGCACCGGUGAUUGGGUGGGAAGGUAGUUCCUUAGUACCUAAGGAAAGGUUAAUUUCUUAUCUUAGAGCCCGGUGGUUGAUCUCCAAGGGGUGUCACUGCCAUUUAGUCCAUGUUAAGGAUUCUAUUUCGAUUGUCCUUCGUUGUAACUUGUCCCUGUGGUCUGUGAGUUUUUUAGGUGUUUCCUAAUGAUCUUCCUAGUGUUCCUCCUAAUAGGAAAAUUAAUUUUGGGAUUGAUCUUCUUUUAGACACUUAUCCUAUCUCUAUCCCUCCCUAUAUAAUGGCUCUGACUGAGUUGAACGAACUUAAGGAGCAGUUGAAAGAUCUCCUUGAUAAAGGUUCUAUUCGCCCUAGUGUCUCUCCGUAGGGCACUCCGGUACUGUUCUACAUAGAAAAGAAUCCAAGUGUAUGCUUUGUUAGACAUAGUAAUGUUUUGACGUUCCUUUGAGAUGAAAAUUCAGAACAACGAGCAAAGAAGACAGGAAUGUGUGUAUGCAUACUUAGUUUAAUGAAAAUAUCAUCAUCAUCAUCAUAAUAUAAUAAUAAUAAUAUAAUAAUAGUAAUAAUAAUAAUAAUAAUAACAAUAAAAACCAUAGAUGGCUAUUUUUCAAAAUAUAUCCAAUUUUCAAUUACAUAUUUUGCACAGAGCUACAAAUAUUUCCAUGGAUCACCUGUCAUUUUUUAGACAACAUAACAACAUAUUCAAGCAUCACUUAUUGAUUUUGCUAGAAAGAUCAAAACGACAUAUUUUGAUGGGCAUCAAAACUUCUAAUUCUACCAUAAAAAUCAGGUUAUCAAGACAUAAUAAUAGACCAUAGAGGGAAAGAAAAAAAGAGCUUGAAAAUAUACCAAAACAAAUACUAAAAACAGACCAAAACAAACACACCUAAUGAUCAAAAUUUCAACAUCUUUCAAACUGCUCAUAUUCAUAUCAUCAUAACAAGCAAAACUUACUUCUUUAAGAUAAUCAUCACCAAUAUGCAUAAGAUAGAUUGAAGUCGAACAAAUAGAAGCAGAGAAAAUUCAGGCUUAACUUACAAAGUUGUUUACACAAAAUAAAAUAUAACCACCGAGAAAAGGGAUAGAGGAAUCACCUCUUUCUGGACAGCAAAUCGAAACUACGAGCUCUUCAUCAGAUUAUUACUUCACCACCACCGAAAUAAAUUUGUAUUCUUAGCCUAUAAAUUCAAGCUCAAACGAGUCUUAUCAAAAUUUUUGAUACUGAAAUCCUUCUUCGAAUAGCAAAAUCCCAUGCUUUUCGAGGUUCUCGCUAUCCGACCUUUCUCUAACCUCAUUCAAUGACAGCAAUAGAGGUAUAUAAAGGAAGGGAUUUGAGCUCAAUUUAGAGCUCUUUAACGAUGUGGGAUAAAAUAAUUUAGGGUACGUUUGGAUAUUUUUGAAAGGGAAUUUCGAAUAGAGAGUUGGAUAAGAUUAAGUUAGAAUCGUACAAAUCAGUACAAAUUUUUUAAAUUCAAACAGGUAGCUUUUGCUGGCUACAACUGCGUCGUUUUGUGACUGAUUCAAGUUGCUUAUGGGUUAGUUGAAUUUGUUGUACAUCGGGUCAGAUUGGUGGUGGGUUGAAGCUGCUGCUGAGCCAUUUCUCAUCAGCUAGUGUUGUUAUCGUUGGGUUGUUGGGUUGUUAUUGUGAACGUUGGAUCGUUGUACUGUGAUGAGUAAAGGGAAAAAGAUCAGGUCGGGUAAGCUGGUUAUGGGUUGAAGUGUCGGGUCGUGGAUAGGUUUGGAGUGGGCCGGGGCCAACUGAUUGGGCUGGGGAGGUUAAAUGGGGCUACUGUUGAUUG
rnacentral:lncRNA from 1 species